rnacentral:rRNA from 1 species
UACGGAGGGUGCGAGCGUUAUCCGGAAUUACUGGGUUUAAAGGGUGCGUAGGUGGUCUAUUAAGUCAGUGCUGAAAUAUCCCGGCUUAACCGGGAGGGUGGCAUUGAUACUGAUGGACUUGAGUAAAGUUGAGGUAGGCGGAAUUGACGGUGUAGCGGUGAAAUGCUUAGAUAUCGUCAAGAACACCGAUAGCGAAGGCAGCUUACUAAGCUUUAACUGACGCUGAGGCACGAAAGUGUGGGGAUCAAACAGG